CAGCCGCCACGGGAAUACAGAGGGUGCGAGCGUUAAUCGGAUUUACUGGGCGUAAAGCUUGCGUAGGCGGCUUCUUAAGUCGGAUGUGAAAUCCCUGAGCUUAACUUAGGAAUUGCAUUCGAUACUGGGAAGCUAGAGUAUGGGAGAGGAUGGUAGAAUUCCAGGUGUAGCGGUGAAAUGCGUAGAGAUCUGGAGGAAUACCGAUGGCGAAGGCAGCCAUCUGGCCUAAUACUGACGCUGAGGUACGAAAGCAUGGGGAGCAAACAGGAUUAGAUACCCCAGUAGUCCCUGUCUCUUAUAC
rnacentral:rRNA from 1 species